CUCCUACGGGAGGCUGCAGUGGGGAAUUUUGGACAAUGGGCGCAAGCCUGAUCCAGCAAUGCCGCGUGUGUGAAGAAGGCCUUCGGGUUGUAAAGCACUUUUGUCCGGAAAGUAAACGUCGUGGUUAAUACCCGUGGCGGAUGACGGUACCGGAAGAAUAAGCACCGGCUAACUACGUGCCAGCAGCCGCGGUAAUACGUAGGGUGCAAGCGUUAAUCGGAAUUACUGGGCGUAAAGCGUGCGCAGGCGGUCCGCUAAGACAGAUGUGAAAUCCCCGGGCUUAACCUGGGAACUGCAUUUGUGACUGGCGGGCUAGAGUAUGGCAGAGGGGGGUAGAAUUCCACGUGUAGCAGUGAAAUGCGUAGAGAUGUGGAGGAAUACCGAUGGCGAAGGCAGCCCCCUGGGCCAAUACUGACGCUCAUGCACGAAAGCGUGGGGAGCAAACAGGAUUAGAUACCCUGGUAGUCCACGCCCUAAACGAUGUCAACUAGUUGUCGGGUCUUCAUUGACUUGGUAACGUAGCUAACGCGUGAAGU
rnacentral:rRNA from 1 species